GUCCACGCCGUAAACGUUGGGCACUAGGUGUGGGACCCUAUCGACGGGUUCCGUGCCGUAGCUAACGCAUUAAGUGCCCCGCCUGGGGAGUACGGCCGCAAGGCUAAAACUCAAAGGAAUUGACGGGGGCCCGCACAAGCGGCGGAGCAUGUUGCUUAAUUCGAUGCAACGCGAAGAACCUUACCUAGGCUUGACAUGCAGGGAAAAGCCGUAGAGAUACGGUGUCCUUCGGGGCCCUGCACAGGUGGUGCAUGGUUGUCGU
rnacentral:rRNA from 1 species